GGGUACAGGAGUCCUUGUUUGCAUUGAUGAGUGUUUCGUAUAAGUACAAGUAUUAGUCUCCUCAUUAUUAUACGUAUUUCCUAGACUUGUAUACUAGAAGGUGGUUCAUUUGGUUAAUCCUAGUUGAUGUUCCUCAUUAGUUGUGAUGAUCGUUGGGUGUCCAUGGUUAAACACCAAAACUAUGUUCUAACCUAUGUUCUCUACUUGAUCCCAAAACUUCCACGACCACUUCUACAACUACCUCUAACUGUGGGAGGGCUACUCUCCUAACAACCACUACUAAAGGGGGAGGGCCUCCCUUCACAGGGGCCAUCUUGUCGAGGUGGCCUCGGGAUCUAACUAAGGCGGUUCCAAGGCGGUGCACCGUCGCCUCAAAGCAGAGCAUUCGAACGGGUGUUUAAAAAGCUCCCAUUUUAGAGAGUAUAUCAUCUUCUACCUGUGGCCUCCGGGUGGUCCCCUGGGUCCUCUAUCCCCCGCGGGCCAUCCCCCCCGCGGGAGGUGAGAGGACUUGUCCCACACCCGGGGGACCACAUAAAGAAAGCGAGUUAUUAAGAAUAUUUA
rnacentral:rRNA from 1 species